AACGAACGCUGGCGGCAUGCCUAACACAUGCAAGUCGAACGAGACCUUCGGGUCUAGUGGCGCACGGGUGCGUAACGCGUGGGAACCUGCCCUUAGGUUCGGAAUAACUCCCCGAAAGGGGUGCUAAUACCGGAUAAUGUCUUCGGACCAAAGAUUUAUCGCCUUUGGAUGGGCCCGCGUUGGAUUAGCUAGUUGGUAGGGUAAAAGCCUACCAAGGCGACGAUCCAUAGCUGGUCUGAGAGGAUGAUCAGCCACACUGGGACUGAGACACGGCCCAGACUCCUACGGGAGGAAGCAGUGGGGAAUAUUGGACAAUGGGCGAAAGCCUGAUCCAGCAAUGCCGCGUGAGUGAUGAAAGCCUUAGGGUUGUAAAGCUCUUUUACCCGGGAUGAUAAUGACAGUACCGGGAGAAUAAGCGCCGGCCAACUCCGUG
rnacentral:rRNA from 1 species